UAGCAGAGGUCUCAAGCGUUGUUCGGAUUCAUUGGGCGUAAAGGGUGCGUAGGCGGACUGUCACGUCGUGCCUGUGAAAAGCUGGGGCUUAACCCUGGCCUUGCAGUGGAUACGGGCAGACUAGGAGGUAGGUAGGGGAGAAUGGAAUUCCGGUGUAGCGGUGAAAUGCGCAGAUAUCGGGAGGAACGACCGGUGCGAAGGCGGUUCUCUGGGC
rnacentral:rRNA from 1 species